GUGCCAGCGCCGCGGUAAUACGGAAGGGUGCAAGCGUUAAUCGGAAUUACUGGGCGUAAAGCGCACGCAGGCGGUUUGUUAAGUCAGAUGUGAAAUCCCCGGGCUCAACCUGGGAACUGCAUCUGAUACUGGCAAGCUUGAGUCUCGUAGAGGGGGGUAGAAUUCCAGGUGUAGCGGUGAAAUGCGUAGAGAUCUGGAGGAAUACCGGUGGCGAAGGCGGCCCCCUGGACGAAGACUGACGCUCAGGUGCGAAAGCGUGGGGAGCAAACAGGGAUUAGAUACCCUGGUAGUCCACGCCGUAAACGAUGUCGACUUGGAGGUUGUGCCCUUGAGGCGUGGCUUCCGGAGCUAACGCGUUAAGUCGACCGCCUGGGGAGUACGGCCGCAAGGUUAAAACUCAAAUGAAUUGACGGGGGCCCGCACAAGCGGUGGGAGCAUGUGGUUUAAUUCGAUGCAACGCGAAGAACCUUACCUGGUCUUGGACAUCCACAGAACUUUCCAGAGAUGGAUUGGUGCCUUCGGGAACUGUGGAGACAGUGCUGCAUG
rnacentral:rRNA from 1 species